rnacentral:rRNA from 1 species
AUUGAACGCUGGCGGCAUGCCUUACACAUGCAAGUCGAACAGUAACAGGUCUUCGGAUGCUGACGAGUGGCGAACGGGUGAGUAAUACAUCGGAACGUGCCCGAGAGUGGGGGAUAACGAAGCGAAAGCUUUGCUAAUACCGCAUACGAUCUCAGGAUGAAAGCAGGGGACCGCAAGGCCUUGCGCUCACGGAGCGGCCGAUGGCAGAUUAGGUAGUAGGUGGGAUAAAAGCUUACCAAGCCGACGAUCUGUAGCUGGUCUGAGAGGACGACCAGCCAAACUGGGACUGAGACAAGGCCCAGAAUCCUACGGGAGGCAGCAGUGGGGAAUUUUGGACAAUGGGCGCAAGCCUGAUCCAGCCAUGCCGCGUGCAGGAUGAAGGCCUUCGGGUUGUAAACUGCUUUUGUACGGAACGAAAAGACUCUGGUUAAUACCUGGGGUCCAUGACGGUACCGUAAGAAUAAGCACCGGCUAACUACGUGCCAGCCGCCGCCGUAA